UACGUAGGGUGCGAGCGUUGUCCGGAAUUAUUGGGCGUAAAGAGCUCGUAGGCGGUCUGUCGCGUCGAUCGUGAAAACUUGGGGCUUAACUCUGAGCUUGCGGUCGAUACGGGCAUGACUGGAGUUCGGCAGGGGAGACUGGAAUUCCUGGUGUAGCGGUGAAAUGCGCAGAUAUCAGGAGGAACACCGGUGGCGAAGGCGGGUCUCUGGGCCGAUACUGACGCUGAGGAGCGGAAGCGUGGGGAGCGAACAGG
rnacentral:rRNA from 1 species